ACGCACGUUGGCGGCAUGCCUAACACAUGCAAGUCGAACGAGACCUUCGGGUCUAGUGGCGCACGGGUGCGUAACGCGUGGGAACCUGCCCUUAGGUUCGGAAUAACUCCCCGAAAGGGGUGCUAAUACCGGAUAAUGUCUUCGGACCAAAGAUUUAUCGCCUUUGGAUGGGCCCGCGUUGGAUUAGCUAGUUGGUAGGGUAAAAGCCUACCAAGGCGACGAUCCAUAGCUGGUCUGAGAGGAUGAUCAGCCACACUGGGACUGAGACACGGCCCAGACUCCUACGGGAGGCAGCAGUGGGGAAUAUUGGACAAUGGGCGAAAGCCUGAUCCAGCAAUGCCGCGUGAGUGAUGAAGGCCUUAGGGUUGUAAAGCUCUUUUACCCGGGAUGAUAAUGACAGUACCGGGAGAAUAAGCUCCGGCUAACUCCGUG
rnacentral:rRNA from 1 species